CCUACGGGUGGCAGCAGUGGGGAAUAUUGCACAAUGGGGGAAACCCUGAUGCAGCAACGCCGCGUGAGCGAUGAAGUAUUUCGGUAUGUAAAGCUCUAUCAGCAGGGAAGAGAAUGACGGUACCUGACUAAGAAGCCCCGGCUAACUACGUGCCAGCAGCCGCGGUAAUACGUAGGGGGCAAGCGUUAUCCGGAUUUACUGGGUGUAAAGGGAGCGUAGACGGCUUGGCAAGCCUGAAGUGAAAGCCUGGGGCUUAACCCCAGGACUGCUUUGGAACCUGUGGUGCUAGAGUGCCGGAGAGGCAGGCGGAAGUCCUAGUGUAGCGGUGAAAUGCGUAGAUAUUAGGAGGAACACCAGUGGCGAAGGCGGCCUGCUGGACGAUGACUGACGUUGAGGCUCGAAAGCGUGGGGAGCAAACAGGAUUAGAUACCCCGGUAGUC
rnacentral:rRNA from 1 species